CCUACGUGUGGCAGCAGUGGGGGAUAUUGGACAAUGGGGGGAACCCUGAUCCAGCGACGCCGCGUGAGUGAAGAAGUAUUUCGGUAUGUAAAGCUCUGUCAGCAGGGAAGAAGAUGACGGUACCUGAGUAAGAAGCCCCGGCUAACUACGUGCCAGCAGCCGCGGUAAUACGGAGGGGGCAAGCGUUAUCCGGAUUUACUGGGGGUAAAGGGAGCGCAGACGGGGAGAGAAGUCUGAAGUGAAAGCCCGGGGCUCAACCCCGGGACUGCUUUGGAAACUGCCUGACUGGAGUGCUGGAGAGGCAAGCGGAAUUCCUAGUGUAGCGGUGAAAUGCGUAGAUAUUAGGAAGAACACCAGUGGCGAAGGCGGCUUGCUGGACAGUAACUGACGUUGAGGCUCGAAAGCGUGGGGAGCAAACAGGAUUAGAUACCCCUGUAGUC
rnacentral:rRNA from 1 species